AUGAGCUCCCAGACCCAGCUCCUUUGUCUCCUGGUGAUGGGCUUUCAGGGCUGCUGGGGACAGAUCGCACUGACCCAGUCUCCAGAGACCCUGGCAGCAUCUCAAGGAAGCUUUGUCUCCAUAACAUGUAAAAGCAGCAUGGAGGUAGGUACUUCCAUGGCCUGGUACCAACAGAAACCCAAGGAGGCUCCCAGGCUGCUCAUCUUUGGAGCUUCUGCCCGGGCCUCAGGAACCCCGUCCAGGUUCCAAGGAAGUGGCUCUGGCUUUGACUUCUCCCUCGCCAUCCAUGGAGUACAAGCUGAAGAUGUCGGGGUGUAUUACUGUCAGCAGCACAUCAGCCCACCUCUCACAGUGACAGGCCCUCAAAUAAAAAUAUCCUUUCUGGUCUAA